AUGUUUACUUUGCAGCACAUAUACUAAAACUGUAAUGAUAUAGAGAUUAGCACAGCCCCCGUGCAAGGGCCACCUAUUAAUUCAUGAAGCAUCCUGUAUUAUG